CACGCCGGACUGAGACCGGAAAAGACGAGGCAAGGCGGGUUGGGCGCCACCAUGACAACCUACAUCGGAAGAGGCCAGUCUUCCUCGGAGACUGCACUGUCUGGGCCACGAGGGGCGGAGCCUGGACACUGCGGAGAUAGAGCAAAAGAACCAGAACUGGUCUUCAUUCCUGCUGAUUGAACACCUGGUGGACUAAAGUAGAAAAUAUGGAUGAAUGACAAGCUAUGGUAUCCAAGACUGAAAAAUAAUCACUGCAUUAUUUUCUUCUGGCUGAAUAUACAUGAACAUGAUGGUUCUAGGGAACAGUAAGAUGACCCUCAGGUGGGAUGCACAAGUUCCAGUGUUUAUGUGCCAGCAGAGGGCAUUCUCACAACAUACAUGGUUGUUCAGGCAUAGGAAGUAAUGAUGAUGCAGGCUAGAAUAAUAAGGAUAUUCAAUGAGUGAUUAGUGAGUGAUUAACAUAACAUCUUCAAUUCAGUUGGAUCAGUGUCCACAAGGAGCUUGAUGAUGACCAGGACAUCAAAAAGAAAAUAAUCCACACAGCAGUGGUCACAUAGAGGCCAAACAAUGGACAGUGAAGCCUGAAGGAGAGAGUUGGCAAGCCCUGUAAACAAGGACAUGGCUGCAAGAAGGUGACAGAUCUGUUGGUGCAUGAUUGUAGCAGAGUGGAGGGACCAGCAGAUGACAACAUAAUGGUCAACAACCAAUACAGUAAAAAGCACACACUCCAUGGAGCCAAAAGCCAAAGCCACAGAAUACUGAACAAUGCAGCUUAUGUAGCUGAUAUUCUUAACUUCUCCACAAGCUUACCAUUAUUUGAGGAACAACGCAGUUAGUAAAAUGCAUGUCCAAAAUUGAGAGGUUUGGGAAGAAGAAGUACAUUGGGGUGUGGAGCCUGCUAUCCAGGAGGGAAAUUAAGAUGAUGGCUGCGUUGCCUGUGAGUGUCAUCACGUAGAACCCAGAAACAAAGAAAGGAUGAACUCAACCUGGGGAUACUCUGAGAAGUCAACUAAGAUAAUGUCUUCCCCUGAGCUGACACUAUUUUCACCAUCUUCUUAUUUCAUAGCAACUGAAAUAAAAUCAAGUAUUCUCUCUAUAUUGCCAAAACAGAUGGACAAAAAUUAGUCAAUUUUUACAUAAUAGUCCCUACUAAUUCAUAGGUUUUUCUAACAAUUCCAAACAAUGAGAACUCAAAUUUCCUGAUGUAUAAAAUAAUUUAAAUGAUUUAAAUGUAAAUCCAAAGUCACAAAGAAUGCAAAAACUUGAUGGAAGUAGCCUAAAAGUACAUUAAGGUCUUUUAGGUGCUUCACUUGAUCCCAUUAAUUAAAUAUUUAUCUAGGAAGCCUAUAGUUUCUAUUUCACUUAGAUAUCCACUCUUAAUUGGUACACUCUUGAUUAGCGUAGGAACAAUGAGAGAAAAAAUCAAGUGAUAAUAAAAAUGAAACGAAAACUGGGAUAUGGUAGUUGAUGUGAUAAAUUAAUUCGCCCUGGCAAUGAGUAUGAUACAAUAGUGACUGUGAUAUUAAAAUAAGCAGUGAGUGUUGGACCAAACUGACACAGCCACAAUGAUAAAAUUUUUGUAUAUAGUUUCAAUUGGUUUCAUGAAACCAAUAAGGUAAUUUAUUCUUGUUUCCCUCACAAAUACUAGUUUGCUUUAUAUUCUGUUGACAUAAAACAAAUAGAUGACUAGUUGUUUCUUUAGCAAACAUGAGGUUAGUCAAGAUCAAGAAGUAACUGCAUUUCCAGAUUUGCAACCAUGGUGAGACAUGUGCAUGUCCCCCACAAAAAAUGGAGAGAGCUGUUUUAAAUAGGGGCAAAUGAAGUUGAGAUAGCUCUAGUAAACAGAGUCCACUGGAAAAAUUAAGAGUUUGAAGUACAGUAGCUUUUCAUUGGGUAAGUUGUGACAGUUUCUUAUUGGCUGAGCUCUUGAAGGAAGGAAGAGGAAGUCUUUUUCGUUUUGGGCUCUGUUAUUGUUAUAGGUGUGAAAAGCUUCCCUGUCUGACAUCCAGACUAUCUUAAGUGAGAUUUCCUUUUAUUAUUUCUUGACAAUUUCUCCCUUUUGAUCAAGAUUGUUCUCUGAAAGCAUCACUGAUUGAGAGUCAGGUUUUCUGGUUCCAGUGACUUUUUAUCCCUCAAUACAAAGAAGGACAUUCCUGGAUGUACUGUCCUACAUCAAAUGGAAAUUGCACAGAUUUGAAACCUAUUGACAUUCACAUCUGAAUCACAGGGAGUUGUAAGAAGGAGAACGCUGAAGUACUUAUUAUGUGAAGUCCCUAAGUUAACAAGAUUACAGAGAUUGGUGAUCAUCUUUAGCAUUGUGUCAUCAUCAAAGAGGAACUUCCAACAGACCUGGUCUAUAUAUCUUGGGAAAGCUAUCUCAUCAGAUGUCAGCUGCUUCAGUUCUGGGAAAUCUUUACUUUCAGGUCAACAGAUGGCUGUCAGUUUGAGUCAAAGUUUCGUGCUUUCUUUAGGUGUGUUUGUGAAUCCAAGAGUCUAUUUCCUGAAAUUUGGUGACACAAAGGUUGGUUAUCAGUACCUGAUAGAGGCCUUACAAGCGAGUUUGAAGAUAGUCCUUCUGGAGCAGCUGUCCCCAACUUUUUUGGCACCAGGGACCGUUUCAUGGAAGACAAUUUUUCCACAGACGGAUCGGGGGCAGGGGGAUGGUUCAGGCGGUAAUGCGAGUGAUGGGGAGCGGCAGAUGAAGCUUCGCUUGCUCGCCCACCCGCCGCUCACCUCCUGCUGUUUGGCCUGGUUCCUAACAGGCUGCGGACCGGUACUGGUCUGUGGCCCGGGGGUUGCGCACCCCUGUUCUGGAGAUUUCAUUUCUAAAAUCCCCAAAUAUCCAGGUUGCAAGUGUGAGGCUUAAGACCUUUGUCUCCCAUGAGUGCACUGUGAAAAGAUCACUUUACCAAAACAUGCUUACUUUUAGUAGAAGAAAUUAGGACUUCACAAUAUUGGAGUACCUCUCCAUUUAGCAGUUGUGGGUCAAAAGAGACAAGAGUCAAGUGCAUUGGGUAUCCUGUGGCUAUCUCAAACAAUGAGCAUUUAUGAGUUCCAAGAGGAGAAUUUAUAGCAAUGCUUUUGGCCAAGUUAUUUGGAGGGCCUCUACAAUUUUUUCCAAUUGGGACUUCAUGCCUUCACCUAAACCAGAGGAAUGAGGGUAGUAAGUGCAGUGACAGUCUUGUAAAACUGACCAAACAGCACAGAUGUGUUGAAGUACUUGACCACUAAAAAGGAUUCUUUGUCCUUUAUGCAGUUAGAGAAGAGUUUCCCAGGUGGGGACAAUCUUUUCCUAAUGGUUUUAAGCCACAAAAGAGGGAGUAACCUGCCUGCAAGGGAAGGCUUCAGUUCAGUGUUGAACAGGCCAUGACUAAAACAUAUUUAUAUCCACAAGACUGGGGAAGUUGUAUGAAAUUCAUGUGCCAGACCUCAAAUGGUUAAUUAAUCAGUUUAAAAAAUCAGGAAACAGUAUGAACAAGC